AUUGAACGCUGGCGGCAUGCUUUACACAUGCAAGUCGAACGGUAACAGGGAGCUUGCUCCGCUGACGAGUGGCGAACGGGUGAGUAAUGCGUCGGAACGUGCCGAGUAGUGGGGGAUAACGCAUCGAAAGGUGUGCUAAUACCGCAUACGUACUGAGGUAGAAAGUGGGGGAGCUUCAGGCCUCACGCUAUUCGAGCGGCCGACGUCUGAUUAGCUAGUUGGUGAGGUAAAGGCUCACCAAGGCGACGAUCAGUAGCGGGUCUGAGAGGAUGAUCCGCCUCACUGGGACUGAGACACGGCCCAGACUCCUACGGGAGGCAGCAGUGGGGAAUUUUGGACAAUGGGCGCAAGCCUGAUCCAGCCAUGCCGCGUGUCUGAAGAAGGCCUUCGGGUUGUAAAGGACUUUUGUCCGGGAGCAAAUGCCUGGUGUUAAUAGCACUGGGAGCUGAGAGUACCGGAAGAAUAAGCACCGGCUAACUACGUGCCAGCAGCCGCCGUAACAC
rnacentral:rRNA from 1 species